GCAAAGCUGGGUGAAAAUCAGGCUUCUUAUCAUGGUUGACUGGGGAGAAGUCAUUACAGUUUUUAGAAGAUGUCCUGCACUGCAGACUGUUGUUCCUUCAAGUGGUUCUUCUCUUCCUGGUGUUUCUACCAAGGCAACAGUGAUGCUGGAGUUGAUGGGGAAAAUGAUGAGGAGGUACCUGAGAAUCCCACUCAAGCCUCAUGAUCUACUUCUGCUACUCCAAUCAUCAAUUACUACUGAGCUUUUGCUAUCUAAGUUGCCCAUCCACGCUGCUGUAUUGUCUUUGCUAAAAGAUGCUGUUAACCAACAACUGGGACCUCUACAACAGUCCACAAGGAGGAUUGCUAUGCCUUUACAGAAAAUAUAUUUGUUUCUCUUUCUUUCAUAUGUUAGCAUGAAAGAUGAGUAAAAGGGUAAAAGUCCAUAAUGCCCUGUCUUAUCUUUUCUGGGCAACAGAUGCUUCAAAGUAGUCUAAGAAAUGCUAAUGAAACAACUGUUUUUAUGUUUUGUUUCCUGUUUUGUUGGUUUUUGUUUGGUUUUUUUUUCUUCCUUUUUUAUCUUUUCUUAGCAAAAUAUCUUGGGAACUGGCCAUUCUGGAAGGCUAAUCACACUGUUAAAAAAAACCCAAAACAGCCUAGCCUCAGUUGCAGCUGAGUUUUAUGUUUCUCUAAGCUGCCCUUCAGCAAACUAUCUGCCACAAGUUAUUUGACCAGUGUACCACCUUCUCUGUGCAAAAAUUACUUAGAUUGUUUAAAUCUUUAAAUUCAGUCAGAAGCACUUCAGAUACUCCUUCUGGGCGCAGAGAGCUGUUGUACUUUUUUGCUUUAAUUAUGUCUUGUGGGUAUUCUUACUGCAUUAUCUAGCUAAUUAUCUAUUUAGGCAAUAUUUUCUUGAACAGCAGCCUUGCUGGGAUUGCUUGAAAACUCCCACAUGUAAUCCCAAAAGUUUUGCUUGAGGUGACCAUUGCAAGUCAAAAGAAUCCCUUAACCACAGUCUGAAGAAAUCAAAUAGUGCCAGAAAGUACUGUAAAGCACAUAUACAAAAUUAGCUGAACUAAUGUACUUUCAUACUUGCUUCUAAAGCCUUUGCAUUGAUGCAGGUUAUAAUUGUUAGUAAUAUGUGGUAAGAACAUCUACUAACAGGAAAUUCUUGUAAGUGAACAAAACUUUUCACUGAUGUCAUGAUAGGAGAUCAAUUUAGAUCUAUUCACAUUCACAGGAUUGGAUCUGAGUUAGAAUUACUUUUAAAGUUUUAAACAUGAAAAAAAACUAUACAGGAGGGUAGCUCAACCAGAGCCUUUGUGAUUUGUUAAUCUCCUUUGACAUUGAUAUAGAAUUCUCUUCAGCAAGAGAUAUUUUUAAAAUUACCAAUAAGGCUCCGUAUGCCCCAGAAAUAUGGGAGCUGCAUUGCUAGUCUGUAGCUCCUUGGGGUGGAGAAAGCCUUGGUUUGCAUCCCAAGUAAGCAAGUCAGUUUUAUAGCAACUUCUAUCCUCUUGAGUCUGAGCACUCUUAUUGCUAAGCAUCCAUAAAAUUUAUGCCUAGAGUAAUUUUUCUUCCAUCUGUUCAGCUUGGAUGGAGAACAUUUGUUAAACCAUGUUUGUAGAGAUGUUCACAGUGAAAUGCAUGCCCACCCUGAUAUUAGGCUGGUUAACUUGGCUUUUUAAACACAAAGCUGAUAUUGUUAGAUGGCACAGAGCAUGAGCAAGAACAAAUAUGAGACAUCACAGUUUUUUCUUUUCUUAUAAACUUGAGUGUUCUUUCCCAUUGUUGUUCUAAGGUGAGCUAAGACCAACUGCCCACUUAGAAUAAUUAGUAGUUGAAGUCUGCCUGUCAAUUGCUUGAAGUUAGAUUAAGUCCAGUCUUUGCAGUCUGAUACUUUUUCAGAUUUAAAAAGCCAGAGCCAUGUAAACAUUGAAAGUAAUUAUGUCUCUUUCUCCUCCUGUUCUUCCUUUUUUUCUCCCUUUUCUUUCUAAAGUUAGUUAUUAUAGAAAGGAGUUGACUUGAGUUUCAGAGAGUCUGCCAAAAAGCCUCUGGCCUUCCCUGGGGGAUUGAAUUUUAUAUUCUUCAGCAAACAAUGUCUGUUUCCAGAAAUGCUAGAGGAAAACACUGUUUUUCUUUUUAAUCUACUAUCAGUGUCUAAGCCUAAUGGAGCUCUGAUUUUUUUAUUUUCAAGCCUGAGGAACAUCAUGUGUUGAUAUUAGUAUGUGCCUUUUUAAACUUCAUUUGUUAUCUUUAAGCAGCUGCUAAAGUGUAAACAAGUUGUUUUUGUCUUCUGUGUUAAAAAAAGGCUCU